rnacentral:snRNA from 1 species
UAUAUAUUAUGUAUUAUAUUAAAAUUGGAACAACUCAAAGAAGAGCAUGAUGGCCCCUGCGCUAGGAUGACACACAAAUUCGUGAAGCGUUCCAAAGUUCU